rnacentral:snRNA from 1 species
GCCACUUGCAGACCAGAUCUGGUAAUCUGCACCAAGUGAAGUAUCUGCUCUGAUCAGUGUGACAACUGAUAUGUCUCCAACUGGAGACUUGCUUGUCACGUCUGUUGUUGAAGGGGAAGACGCUUGCUACGCUCCGUCAUGCUAAGAUUUCAUGGCUGUAACAGUUGGCAUGUGGACCAACCCCA